UAGUGGUUAAACUGAUAAUUACAGUUAUUUUGCUCAACAUUAUAAUCAUAAUUACUAAUCAUGAUUAUUGUUUUUGAGUAAUUGCAUCAGAAUUAUUGACCUUUCACCUACAAGCACAAAUCAUGAGUGUUAACUUCAUUUGACCUCAUCUAGUUUCCUGAUUUAGUGUAUUAUAUUAAAUAUAAACACACUCUCUACAUUAUGAACACAUUGUCUCUGUGUGUGUGUGUGUGUGUGUGUGUGUGUGUGUGUGUCUGACAGCAAUACUUCCACGCUGGGGGUGUGGGUCUGAAGAAGACGUUUCUGGAGAAGAGUCCUGAUCUGCAGUCUCUGCGCUAUGCGCUGUCUCUCUACACGCAGGCCACAGACAAACUCAUCCGGAAGUUCAUCCAGUCACAGCACACUCAGGUUCACGGUGGUAAAGGCGUGCGAUACACUCACAGUGAAGACGUUUAUCCAGAGAAAGCCUCAGGCGUGGAUGACGCGGUGGGUGAGGUUUGUAUGACUGUGGAGAUCUCCAGCGACCCAAACACAGGAGGACAC
ensembl:lncRNA